UUAUCAUUUGUGAGAUUAACGUGACUUGACCAGUAGAAAAUUUAUAUACCUUUUUGCUAGUAAUUAUUCUUUGAAUACCUGUGCGUUUCAAAGAACUAUCUCUAAAAACUCGAUCUGCAACCUGAGUGUAGAGCUUGAGACCCGUUUACUUAGGUUAGAGCUCCCUCUAACUGCCAAGAAGGCGUGAAGAAAAACUUAUUCUUCAAGCUGUCUAAACGCGACUGCUCUGAGGAGGUUCAUAAUUCAUACAAUCCGAACAUGGACAAAACAACAUUAUUGAAUUGGACAACUCAUGAUCAGAAUUGAGUUUAUCAAAAUGCGUUAAUUUAAUGGUUUAGCUAUGUAAAUCCGAUACAAAUGGUGAGCAAGCAUAAUGUUUACAAUAUUUAUAAGUGUUGUAAUCCAGAAAAGGUCUGAAUACGUGCCAAAUAAUCAUCUGGUGAUCGAUUAAAAGUUAGCUCGAAUGAGGGGCGCAUUGACACAAAUAGAAGGUGUAUUUUAUAAUCCUUUAAAACAUGUGAUUUCGUAAAAAUAUACUAUCAAACUACUAUAAA